GGUGAGUGACUGAAGGGCAUCUGGUGGAUGCCUUGGCGUCGAGAGGCGAUGAAGGACGUGGUAAGCUGCGAAAAGUCCGGGGGAGGUGCUAACACCCUUUGAUCCCGGAAUAUCCGAAUGGGGAAACCCACACAGCAAUGUGUAUCCUGUACUGAAUCCAUAGGUGCAGGAGGCGAACCCGGGGAACUGAAAUAUCUCAUUACCCGGAGGAAAGGACAUCAACCGAGACUCCGUAAGUAGCGACGAGCGAAAGCGGACCAGGCCAGUUCUUUUGCCAGCUGAACCGGAAGCGUCAUGGAAAGGCGCACCAUAGAGGGUGACAGUCCCGUACGGGCAAGGAGCUGACAGAAGACUUGAGUAGGGCGGGGCACGUGAAACCCUGUCUGAACAUGGGGGGACCACCCUCCAAGCCUAAGUACUCCUCGACGACCGAUAGCGAACCAGUACCGUGAGGGAAAGGUGAAAAGUACCGCGACGAGCGGGGUGAAACAGACCCUGAAACCGGAUGCCUACAAACAGUUGGAGCCUGGGUUCUCACUUCGGUGAGAGCAGCGGGUGACAGCGUACCUUUUGUAUAAUGGGUCAGCGAGUGCGUUUGUGCAGCAAGCUUAAGCCGCUAGGCGAAGGCGCAGCGAAAGCGAGUCUUAAAAGGGCGAAUAGUUGCACGGAUGCGACCCGAAACCGGGUGAUCUAGCCAUGACCAGGUUGAAGGUGAGGUGACACUCACUGGAGGACCGAACCCACGCCCGUUGAAAAGGUCGGGGAUGAGUUGUGGCUAGGGGUGAAAGGCCAAGCAAACCCGGAGAUAGCUGGUUCUCCGCGAAA
rnacentral:rRNA from 1 species